GUAACGGCGAGUGAAGCGGUAACAGCUCAAAUUUGAAAUCUGGCCUCACGGUCCGAGUUGUAAUUUGUAGAGGAUGCUUCGAGCAUGGUCUGGCCUAAGUUCCUUGGAACAGGACGUCAUAGAGGGUGAGAAUCCCGUAUGCGGCCAGGUGCCUACGCUCAUGUGAAGCUCCUUCGACGAGUCGAGUUGUUUGGGAAUGCAGCUCAAAAUGGGUGGUAAAUUUCAUCUAAAGCUAAAUAUUGGCCAGAGACCGAUAGCGCACAAGUAGAGUGAUCGAAAGAUGAAAAGCACUUUGGAAAGAGAGUUAAACAGUACGUGAAAUUGUUGAAAGGGAAGCGCUUGCAACCAGACUUGCGCGCGGCUGAUCAUCCGGUGUUCUCACCGGUGCACUCGGCCGUGCUCAGGCCAGCAUCGGUUUUGGCGGCUGGAUAAAGGCCCUAGGAAUGUGGCUCCUCUCGGGGAGUGUUAUAGCCUAGGGUGCAAUGCAGCCUGCUGGGACCGAGGACCGCGCUUCGGCUAGGAUGCUGGCGUAAUGGUUGUAAGCGGCCCGUCUUGAAACACGGACCAAGGAGUCUAACAUCUAUGCGAGUGUUUGGGUGUCAAACCCAUACGCGUAAUGAAAGUGAACGGAGGUGAGAACCCUUAAGGGUGCAUCAUCGACCGAUCCUGAUGUCUUCGGAAGGAUUUGAGUAAGAGCAUAGCUGUUGGGACCCGAAAGAU
rnacentral:rRNA from 1 species